rnacentral:rRNA from 1 species
AACGAACGCUGGCGGCAUGCCUAACACAUGCAAGUCGAACGAGACCUUCGGGUCUAGUGGCGCACGGGUGCGUAACGCGUGGGAACCUUCCCUUAGGUUCGGAAUAACUCCCCGAAAGGGGUGCUAAUACCGCAUAAUGUCUUCGGACCAAAGAUUUAUCGCCUUUGGAUGGGCCCGCGUUGGAUUAGCUAGUUGGUAGGGUAAAAGCCUACCAAGGCGACGAUCCAUAGCUGGUCUGAGAGGAUGAUCAGCCACACUGGGACUGAGACACGGCCCAGACUCCUACGGGAGGCAGCAGUGGGGAAUAUUGGACAAUGGGCGAAAGGCUGAUCCAGCAAUGCCGCGUGAGUGAUGAAGGCCUUAGGGUUGUAAAGCUCUUUUAACCGGGAUGAUAAUGACAGUACCGGGAGAAUAAGCUCCGGCUAACUCCGUG